GCUCAGUAACACGUGGAGAACGUGCCCUUAGGCGGAGGAUAAUCUCGGGAAAUUGAGGAUAAUACUCCAUAGGUCACGGGGUCUGGAACGACCCGUGGCCGAAAGCCCCGGCGCCUAAGGAUCGCUCUGCGGCUUAUCAGGUCGUAGUGGGUGUAACGUACCCCCUAGCCGACGACGAGUAUGGGCCUUGAGAGAGGGAGCCCAGAGUUGGAUUCUGAGACACGAAUCCAGGCCCUACGGGGCGCAGCAGUCGCGAAAACUUCACACUGGGGGCAACCCCGAUGAGGGAAUUCCUAGUGCCAGGGCCUCUGGUCCUGGCUUUUCUCCGGCGUAGACGACCGGAGGAAUAAGGGCUGGGUAAGACGGGUGCCAGCCGCCGCGGUAAUACCUGCAGCCCGAGUGGUGGUCGAUUUUAUUGAGUCUAAAACGUUCGUAGCCGGCCCGGUAAAUCCCUGGGUAAAUCGGGAAGCUCAACUUCCCGAAUUCCGGGGAGACUGCCGGGCUUGGGACCGGGAGAGGCUAGAGGUACUUCUGGGGUAGGGGUAAAAUCCUGUAAUCCUGGAAGGACCACCGGUGGCGAAGGCGUCUAGCUAGAACGGAUCCGACGGUGAGGGACGAGGCCCUGGGUCGCAAACGGGAUUAGAUACCCCGGUAGUCCAGGGUGUAAACGCUGCAGACUUGGUGUUGGGGGCCCUUCGGGGGCGUCCAGUGCCGGAGAGAAGUUGUUAAGUCUGCUACUUGGGGAGUACGUCCGCAAGGAUGAAACUUAAAGGAAUUGGCGGGGGAGCAC
rnacentral:rRNA from 1 species